CCAACAGAAAAUUCUAGAUCUUCUGUUUUAAUUCCGAUUUCAGCACAAGUCACCUCUGACUUAUGUUUUACCUCUAUAAAUCUAAUAAAAAUAGUUUCUCACACUAUUUUUAUUUAUUAUUAUUUUUAUACCAAAAUCUGGUAUAUUACAUUCUCCACCCCUUAAAAAGAAUUUCGUCCGCGAAAUUCAAAACACACCUCAAUUCAGCUCCUCGAGCAAUUGAGGGCACCAAUGCACUUUUUCACUUCGGAAUGGCUUUACACUCCUUGGAACUAUCCAAGAGAACUAUCACGGAGGGUACAAUACCAAACUCAUACAACUUUGUAAGGUGCAUCCCACAAAGUGCAUUACGGUAUCCACCAUUCUUGGUGGAAGCGCAAGUCGAAAUUCAACGACUACACACGCUCCAACCCCACUUGUCAUUUGGCAUGCAAGAACUCUUCUUUGCAUGUACUCUCCCUUCAGGGAAUACAUUCCGAUUCUAUCUCCAACAGUGCUUAAAAGCAACAUCACUGAUGCAUCGCUUCCGCGCGAGUGCUCUAAUUCCGCACUGAUCUUUAGCUCUAACAUGAGAUGGCCCACCUCGGCGCCUCCCAAUUCCAAUCCUCAAAUUCCACGUGGCUUGCUACUAGCUCAAGGUCUCACAAGGAGCACUUCAUCUUCUAAUACCAUAUGCCACGGUCAACAUUGAACUAAUUUCGCAACGAGCUCACACGAACGCUUCAUUCGUGGAUUCGAGUUAGACUCCUCGAUAAGGCUAUCCGCCAAACCGCUCUCUUCGGUCUCCACAGGUGGACCAAAGGCCACCAAUCCUACGUAGGCCUACCGCCUAACCUUUCUCAAUACGCAGCGUCUCUCGCUCGCAAUGCAGACCCAAUCAUCAUUGGGGCGAAAUUCUCACUUGGGAAUUCGCACACACUCCAACCAGGAGCAACUAAGAUCCCAAACCGUUACAGAUUCCCGGGUUGGGUCACACUCGCACUCUCAGUAUACUAUCAAUCGCACUACAUGCUCUAUAGCACAAUACGUACCACUAUCGGCUCCUAUGCACCUAGUGCGAGCCACCAGCCCCACGAGUGAUCCGUGGCACGCUUCACACCUAGCAAUGCUCAGGUGCUACUGCCAACACACUCAUCCGGCUAAACUAAAUCCGCACUCCACGAGUAACUAUACUCGUGUAUCGCACGCCUCUAAAGCGCUCCACACUAUGUCCAGCAUUAGGCAACUCUUGCCUAUGCACACCGGCCACACGAGCAUGGCUCACCUACCUCGAUUCGAGGUACUACUAGGCAAAAGCGCCAGUAGUUGGCAACAAACCGUUCCAUCGGAGCAACAUCCGGAAUACUCGAACCAUUCGAGUGUCCACAAGUGUCACGUCACAACUCUCGCAAUCAGCUAUACAUUGCUCUGCGAGUUAGUCCGUCACUCCCAUCUCUACUGUGAAUCUCAUCAUUAGACCAUCACUAGCAACUCGCUAGUGCCAUCCAGUUCUCUACCUGCACCGGCAGGUGCAACGCUUUCACCACAUAAGCGUGCCCGGGUAUUUACAUUUAUCCGCUCACUUGGACCCUACUAUGCUACUACAUAAAUAGUAGUAAUUAAUUACAUGCUCAAUGCAUGCAAUGCACCAACUUUACAUUAUGCAGAAACACAUAACUGCAUUAAUGGCUCAUACCUGCCAUGACGUUGUCAGCAGCAGGUUCCAUAUCCCGGACAUAGUUCACGAUAGGGAGAAUUCCCGUUCGUACUCUCUAACUGAGCGGUCUCCUUGCCGCAGCUUCCUGAACUUGUCCUGAAGCUUUCUCUUUUCACUGUCGGGGGAAGUAAGUAGAAGAUACCAAUCCCCAAAACUCAUCCCAUGCCAUGGAGGAAUACUAGGCGAUCGGUUCCGCCGAAUGCCUUUCCACCACGCCUUAGCCGACUGUUUCAAACAAUACACGGCUAGGGGUACCCUGUCCCGCUCCAAGGUAGACAGCUCCUCGAAGAGCGUUUCCACGGAGUCAAUCCACGUAUCCACAAUCCACGAAUCGACAUUCUCUCCAUCGAAGAUAGGUGGAUCAAACUUUAUGAAGGUCAUGAGGGCUGCCAAAGCCCGCUCUUUCUCCUUCUUUUCCUUUCCUUUCUUCCUCCUCUUCUUGUCUUCUAGAGAGAGAAAGAGAGAUAUGAGAGGGUGUGUGGGUGAGAAAUGAGAGAAAAGAGCUCUCAUACUCCUCACAUAGCCCCACAUGUUGCAUAAGUGCAAACAAGCCUCUCAACUUUUACUCUUUUACACUGCCCUGACUGGGCCAUUUUCAGGUUCGGGGACCGGUCUCCCCGACGAGGGACCGGUCUCCGAGAGCUCUCCCCGCGGUCAGCAGGGCUCACGCACGAUGCAUCCGGUCUCCCCCGAUGGGACCGGUCUCUUCGGGACCGGUCUCUCCCUGCAGGGACCGGUUCCCGAGAGCUGUCCACCGGGGACUUAGCCGAUUUUUCCUCCCUUUCGCUGUCUGCGCGUGCGGGGACCGGUCUCUCCCACCAGGGACCGGUCCCCGAGAGCAGAAAACCUGCAGUUUGCAGAUUUUGAUUCCCAAAGCUCUCGAAGAUCCCCAGCAACGCACUUUUGCAUUAUUUGACGCCUUCGGCCUUUCCGAAGUGUACCAACCUCGCUCUUUGGUCAAUUUGACCAAGGUUCGAUGUUCGCUUACCGAAGUUUCGGUAUAUUACACCUACAAUUUUUUUUCGGAGUCUCUUAAUUCGCUCCUCCUGGUGUAUAGCAGCCUCCUGCUGCCGCUGCACCACAUCUGCUCGUUGCCUCACCACACCCACAAGUGUGGCCAACCGUUCGCGAAGUUCCAAAUCUCCGCUCGCCUUGGAUUGCUCUGGGACAUCACUUGUCCCACCCCGCGUCGAUCUAAACGAAGAUCGCCUACGCGGUGCCAUCGUUACCUAGAACAUAACAACUCAACUAACUCUCAACCUUCUAGGUCGAGUACGAGACAACUGACAUCAACUCAAAUCGGGCGAAAGUCAUACAAGGGCAUCUAUUCUCAUCACUCGGUUUCAUGUUGUACGCGUCCAACAUGAACACUCUCGGUUGAGAAUAGACAACACCUUGGAUCUACCUCUAAUCUCCUUUUUAGAGGUUUACAACACAACCCAAUCCCUUAACCUUUCGCCAAAAGUCACAAGUCCUCGUCUCUCACGAGCCUUAAUCUCCUAUGGUUUACUAUCCUAGGGUCUCCUAGGUUCAUCUAAACCACUUUCCCAUUCUCUACUUUAUGCUCUGAUACCAUCUUACCUGUCACGCCCCGAGCCCGCCUCUUUGGUCGGAUUCGGGCACGCCAACAGACCGCCGAACGGACAGGGUUUCCCCUGCACGCGGACAGAGUCUCCCCUGUACGUUCAAGGCGUCGCAAUCAAUACAAUUACAAGAGGUUCCAAACAGGAACAAUUUUCAACAACGAUUGCAUAAGGAAGGUAUCAAACAACAUAACACAUCCUAUGUUAUUACAAUCAUUCAUCUCAUCAUUUUACAUCGCAUUUUUCAUUACAUUGAUUCUCAACUUCCAAAUAUACAAUCGAUUUCUAAACAUAAUAUUACAACAUCGAUUCUUUUCUUUUCUUUUCUUAUACCCCUAAGAAGCCGACUCAGGGUGCUGCUAUCUGGUCUCUGUGGUAGGGCGCUAACUACGGAGCUACGCCCUUUCCUCGCGCCGCCGCGCCGCUCGCGUGUGAACCUGUACCCCCAAAAACAACAACACGGGGGUGAGACUAUUGUCCAUAGUCGUCAGUGGGUACAGCCACCCAAGUGAAAAGCUCAACCCACCAGGUCCAAAGGAGGCACUGCAACAUGUUAGUCCAACAGAUAUAUAUAUAUAUAACAUCAUGCAAUACAUGUUCAUGCCUCACAAAUAUGCAAAUUAUGCAACUCUUAGUCAUUCUUUACCAUUAGCCUUUCUUUAGAAUAUGCAAUUCUUUAUCAUUAGCCAUUCUUUAUUCUUUAAUCUUUAUUCUUUAUUCUUUAUUCUUUAUGCUUUAUUCUUUAUGCUUUAUUCUUUGUUCUUUAUCCUUUACUAAGGGCACUCGCGCCUUAGGCUCAUCAUACACAUUUGCCAUUCUUUAUAACAUUAACAAGUCUUUCUCAAUUAUCACUCUUUCCUAAGGUUACAUUUACCUUAGCCAACUAUGCCACUCGACUCGGUCUUGAGUCAAUUCAUAAUGAAUACAAGAUCCACUUUCCAAUUCAUGAUUCCUUUUUGUUCUUUGUUCUUUAAUCUCACGGCUAACCCGGGGGUUUCGCCACAUUAACUUGCUUCACAUUAAGUCCAUCAUCGCAGGAACUCACCAGCUAGGACCGUCCUUACGGGUCUACUCCAACCCGGAUGCCAAACUCCGGAGCGCAUCGCCCGAGGGGGAGCGACCGCCCUCGAGCACGGAACUCAUAGCAAGUAUGAUCAAUCCUUAACUCUAAGGAUAUGUAGUUGGAUCAUGGUUUUACACUAACUCUAGUGUUCUUUACAUCACAUUAGUUGCUAACUCUAGCAAUCAUUAUUCUUUAUACCACAAUUAUCAAUUACUUUAGUAAUUAUCAUUCUUGAUACCACACUUGUUCUUUUAUUGCCACACACUAACUCUAGUGUUCUUUAUGUCACAUUGGUUGCUAACUUUAGCCAUUAUCAUUGUUCUUUACACUUUGCUUGUUCUUUAUGCCACAUUACUUUACAUCGCCUCUAGCCAUUAUCAUUAUUCUUUACAUCACAUUGCUUUGCCUUGUCUCAAGCCAUUAUCAUUAGGUUCUCACAUUACAUCUCAUGCAUACACAUAGAUUAUUUAGAUUCUUAAUCAUUCUAAUAAGCACGUGUACUCACAUCAUGCAACAUUACAUUAUUAUCAUCACAUUGUUUUACAUUAUCUUUAGCCAUUAUCAUUGUUCUUUACAUCACAUUUAUUCUUUGAUGUCCCACACUAACUCUAGUGUCCACUUUACCAUUUCGAAUGCCACUCGAUCUAUGUUCAACAUGCAUAUAUUUUGUCAUCCAUUGGUAGUCAUUACUUAGCAUUUUAUGCAUUCGUUAACAUUUACUACAUGCAUUCUCGGUUAGUACAAAUCUCAUACUUUCAUUUGACAUCUAUUUAGCAUUUCUAUAAUAUGCACAUAUAAAUUAACAUCAACUCAUGCAUUCAUUUGGCAUCUAUCUUUAUCAUGCAUUCUUAAUUAGCAUACUUUAUCAUGCAUUCUCAAAUAGCAUACUUUAAUCUUUAUCAUGCAUUCUUAAAUAGCAUACUUUAUCAUGCGUCAAUAGUAAACAUACUACACUUUAGCAUGGAAAGCGACCUAAUCGCUUCGGUGAGCACAACCCAC
rnacentral:lncRNA from 1 species